GCCCCCGUAGCUCAGGUGGAUAGAGCACCAGAUUCCUAAUCUGGGAGUCGUGCGUUCGAGUCGCGCCGGGGGCACCA
rnacentral:tRNA from 1 species